rnacentral:rRNA from 1 species
GAUGAACGCUGGCUACAGGCUUAACACAUGCAAGUCGAGGGGAAACGACGGGGAAGCUUGCUUCCCCGGGCGUCGACCGGCGCACGGGUGAGUAACGCGUAUCCAACCUGCCUCUGACUGAGGGAUAACCCGUCGAAAGUCGGCCUAAUACCUCAUGGCAUCGUCUGCGGGCAUCCAACGACGAUUAAAGAUUUCAUCGGUCAGGGAUGGGGAUGCGUCUGAUUAGCUUGUUGGCGGGGUAACGGCCCACCAAGGCUACGAUCAGUAGGGGUUCUGAGAGGAAGGUCCCCCACAUUGGAACUGAGACACGGUCCAAACUCCUACGGGAGGCAGCAGUGAGGAAUAUUGGUCAAUGGGCGGGAGCCUGAACCAGCCAAGUAGCGUGCAGGAUGACGGCCCUAUGGGUGGUAAACUGCCUUUAUGCGGGGAUAAAGUGAGGGACGUGUCCUUCAUUGCAGGUACCGCAUGAAUAAGGACCGGCUAAUUCCGUG